rnacentral:lncRNA from 1 species
AAGGAUCCAAACGGAAAGAAAAAUCGAUAAAGAAUUAAGAAUUUUGGUUUAGUGUGUUUAUCCGCUAAUUUGUUUAUUUCAGUGGGUUUAGUUUUUGUAUUUUUUUGUUUCUAACAAAUAAAUGUUGCUACUACUGUGAACCCAAGAAAAGUUAGAGGUUUGUAAUCUCAUUCCUAUAAUUCCCAUUACUGAAUAUGUUAUCUACCUAUAAAAGUUUAAUGAAGUUAUGUAACAUAUUAUCACAUACAAUAAUAUAAACCACUUAUGCAGAUUUAUUAUGUCUCUCCUCCACGUUUCCAAUGAGAUUUUUCGACAACGAUGUUAAUCAACUACUGAAUACAAUACUUAACAUAGUAUGUAGGGGCAUUCAUAGACUUAUAUAUGUUCACUAUUUUAGUCAGCAAAAUCUGAGUGCUUACAUUGAAAAUAGUACUACUCUCUAAUGUAACUAAAAGUAAAUUUUUUCUUUUUGUAGGGUGCUGAUAAUGGCUGAAAGAACCCAUCCUUUUUUUUUUUUAAUUUUAAAAUGCAAACCGGAUUAACCCAUUUAAAGCAAACCAGACAAUCUCACUAACACAAACCAAUUAACGUAAUCAGUGGAAGACUUAAUAAAAAAAAAUCCAAUUAAACAAUUCCAUUAAACCAACAUGUUCAACCAACG